rnacentral:rRNA from 1 species
CCUACGGGAGGCAGCAGUGGGGAAUAUUGGGCAAUGGGCGCAAGCCUGACCCAGCAACGCCGCGUAAAGGAAGAAGGCUUUCGGGUUGUAAACUUCUUUUGUCAGGGAAGAGUAGAAGACGGUACCUGACGAAUAAGCCACGGCUAACUACGUGCCAGCAGCCGCGGUAAUACGUAGGUGGCAAGCGUUGUCCGGAUUUACUGGGUGUAAAGGGCGUGUAGCCGGGUUGACAAGUCAGAUGUGAAAUCCUGCGGCUUAACCGCAGAACUGCAUUUGAAACUGUUGAUCUUGAGUACUGGAGAGGCAGACGGAAGUCCUAGUGUAGCGGUGAAAUGCGUAGAUAUUAGGAGGAACACCAGUGGCGAAGGCGGUCUGCUGGACAGCAACUGACGGUGAGGCGCGAAAGCGUGGGGAGCAAACAGGAUUAGAUACCCCAGUAGUC